rnacentral:rRNA from 1 species
CCUACGGGUGGCAGCAGUGAGGAAUAUUGGUCAAUGGCCGGAAGGCUGAACCAGCCAUGCCGCGUGAAGGUCAGUGCCCUAUGGGCGUUAAACUUCUUUUGUGCGGGAGCAAUAAUGGUCACGUGUGGCCAGACGAGAGUACCGUACGAAUAAGCAUAGGCUAACUACGUGCCAGCAGCCGCGGUAAUCCGGGGGAUGCAAGCGUUAUCGGGAUGUAAUGGGUUUAAAGGGUGCGUAGGCUGUGAGGUAAGUCAGCGGUGAAAUGCCGCCGCUCAACGGGGUGAAGGGCCAUUGAUACUGGCUUGCGGGAAUGCGGAUGCGGUGGGAGGAAUGUGUGGUGUAGCGGUGAAAUGCAUAGAUAUCACACAGAACACCGAUUGCGAAGGCAUCUCACGAAUCCGCGAUUGACGCUGAUGAACGAAAGCGUGGGUAUCAAACAGGAUUAGAUACCCCAGUAGUC